rnacentral:rRNA from 1 species
GACGAACGCUGGCGGCGUGCUUGACACAUGCAAGUCGAACGGAAAGGCCUGCUUUCCCUUGUGGAUUGCGGGUACUCGAGUGGCGAACGGGUGAGUAACACGUGAGUGAUCUGCCCCCAACUUGGGUAUAAGCCUGGGAAACUGGGUCUAAUUCCCGAUAGGACUGCAGGGUGGUGCCUGUGGUGGAAAACGAUUUUCUAGUGGUUGGGGAUGAGCUCGCGGCCUAUCAGCUUGUUGGUGGGGUAAUGGCCUACCAAGGCGGCGACGGGUAGCCGGCCUGAGAGGGUGGACGGCCACAUUGGGACUGAGAUACGGCCCAGACUCCUACGGGAGGCAGCAGUGGGGAAUAUUGCACAAUGGGCGGAAGCCUGAUGCAGCGACGCCGCGCGGGGGAUGACGGCCUUCGGGUUGUAAACUCCUUUCGACCGCGAGGAAGCCACCUGGUUGGAAGGGUGGUGACGGUAGUGGUAGAAGAAGCACCGGCUAACUACGUG